rnacentral:rRNA from 1 species
AUCUUGAACAAGGAAUAUCUAGUAAACGCAAGUCAUCAACUUGCAUUGAUUACGUCCCUGCCCUUUGUACACACCGCCCGUCGCUUCUACCGAUUGAAUAAUGAGGUGAAUUAGGUGGAUAAGAGCCGCCUCGGCGCGUUCUUAGAAGCUUUGUGAACCUUGUUAUUUAGAGGAAGGAAAAGUCGUAACAAGGUUUCCGUAGGUGAACCUGCGGAAGGAUCAUUAUUACUUAUAUUUGUUUAUUAUUGCAAAAUAAACAUUUAUAAAAACCGCGAACCUCGUUCUUUUAAUUAAUUUUGCUGACUACCGAUUUACUACACAAACGCAAAAAGCAUAUACAUAUGACUUUUGCAAGACAUGCCGACAUCAAUCUUUGCAAUGGAUGACUAGGCUCUCGCAACGAUGAAGAACGCAUCCAAAUGCGAUACUUGAUGUGAAUCGACCGUUUCGAGCAUUGAGUAUUUGAAUGCAAAUUGCGCCGCCAGCCGGCAUGCUUCCUUGAGAACCCUUUUUACUUAUGUAUUAUAUUACACAGCCGAUUGGUUGUGUGUCGUCGGGCGUCAAGCAGACCCAGAAUUUGCUUGCUUGUCGCCAGAGCCUGAGAACUUGCUCCGACCGGGCAGCCAGCCGCGCGACGUGUUCGUACGGCGCUCCUCCAACCGCAGCAUCUUCUUGCAAAAAAACUUACAAAAGUCUCAAGUGAAGUAAGGCG